UCGACGGGACCUGAACAUCGCCCCCGAGUGCUCCGUGAUCGCUGCGCAUGCGUGAGCUGAGAGAAGGUGAGAAAGGAGAACAACUCUUUUUCCCCGGAUGUGACGUCACAUUGUUGCUUGUUUUUACUUUUUUGAAAGAGCUACUCUCGAACGUAGAUUAGCCAUUGCCGUCGUGUCGGCUGCAAGACGUUCUGCGCGCGCUUGGCGCGCUUUUGUGCGUGUCGAAAGCGUAUAACGUGCGCGAUAUUCGUGCGAGCGCAGUUUGACUUGAGCAAUCGUGGGUUUGGACUCCGUGACAUUUGCUUUCGUCAUAUGCGAGUUAGGGGCUUGCCGACAGGUAAACCGCCGCUGUACUUAGAUGCAAAAGCUGCCUCCCUUAUCUGGAACAGAAUAAAUUCCUUUCGAAGGCAAAAUAAAAAACAGAAAGAGAAGUCA
rnacentral:lncRNA from 1 species